GAUGAACGCUGGCGGCGUGCUUAACACAUGCAAGUCGAACGGACAGGCCCUGCUUUUGUGGGGUGCUCGUGUGGCGAACGGGUGUGUAACACGUGUGUAACCCCCCCUUGUCUUUGGGAUAACUUCAGGAAACUGGGGAUAAUACCGGAUAGGAGCUUCUGCCGCAUGGUGGGGGUUGGAAAGUUUCGGCGGUUGGGGAUGGACUCGCGGCUUCCGAGCUUGUUUGUGGGGUUGUGGCUUACCAAGGCUUUGACGGGUAGCCGGCCUGAGAGGGUGACCGGCCACACUGGGACUGAGAUACGGCCCAGACUCCUACGGGAGGCAGCAGUGGGGAAUAUUGCACAAUGGGCGGAAGCCUGAUGCAGCGACGCCGCGUGCGGGAUGACGGCCUUCGGGUUGUAAACCGCUUUCGCCUGGGAAGAAGCGAGAGUGACGGUAAUGGGUAAAGAAGCACCGGCUAACUACGUG
rnacentral:rRNA from 1 species